AUAAGCGGAGGAAAAGAAACUAACAAGGAUUCCCUAGUAACGGCGAGUGAAGCGGGAUGAGCUCAAAUUUUAAAUCUGACGGUCUUUGGCCGUUCGAGUUGUAAAUUAGAGAAGUGCUUUCUGUGCCGGACCUGUCAUAAGUUACCUUGAAUGGUACAUCAGAGAGGGUGAUAAUCCCGUACUUUGUCAGGACCGCCGGUGCUAUACGAUGCGCUCUCGACGAGUCGAGUUGUUUGGGAAUGCAGCUCUAAAUGGGAGGUAAAUUCCUUCUAAAGCUAAAUACAUUGGAAUGACCGAUAGCGAACAAGUACCGUGAGGGAAAGAUGAAAAGAACUUUGGAAAGAGAGUUAAAAAGUACGUGAAAUUGCUGGUGGGGAAACGCUUGAAGUCAGUCUUGCCUUCUGGGAUUCAGCCUCGCUUUUGCUGGGUGUACUUCCUGGUUGACAGGCCAGCGUUUAUUUCGGCCGUUGGAAAAGGGUGGAGGGAAUGUGGCAGUUUACUGUGUUAUAGCCCUCUGUCGCAUACUCCGGCCGGGAUGAAUCGUACAGCACCUCUGUGGUGCUUUUGCUGGCGU
rnacentral:rRNA from 1 species